GAAAUGCGAUAAGUAGUGUGAAUUGCAGAAUUCAGUGAAUCAUCGAAUCUUUGAACGCACAUUGCGCCCCUUGGUAUUCCAUGGGGCUUGCCUGUUCGAGCGUCAUUUGUACCCUCAAGCUCUGCUUGGUGUUGGGUGUUUGUCCCCGUCUCCGCGCGUGGACUCGCCCCAAAGUGAUUGGCAGCCGGCGUACUGGUCCCGGAGCGCAGCACAUGUCGCGCAAACGAGUGCCUUGGUACGGCGGCGUCCAUAAGCCCCUCUCUCACGCUCUUGACCUCGGAUCAGGUAGGGAUACCCGCUGAACUUAAGC
rnacentral:misc_RNA from 1 species